rnacentral:tRNA from 1 species
GCCUCGGUGGCUCCGAGGCGGGAGCACCGGCCUACGGAUCCCCAGGUGGCGGGUUCGAAUCCCGACCGAGGUG